CUUGGGAUCGGCAGUAUGAAAUUUUUGCACAUUUUUCUUCUUUCCUCUCCUAGAGGAUCGACGUCCUGUAGAUGAACCUACCACUAAAUUCACUGGCUCCUUUUGGAGCUGGUGAUCCUUCUCAAAAGUCUACAGUAAUCCUAGCAAAUCAUGGUAGUUUACUGUAAGCUUCGUCAUUCUAUAAUGACUGAAAAAGGAUAGG
rnacentral:lncRNA from 1 species